rnacentral:rRNA from 1 species
UGGGGAAUCUUGGACAAUGGGGGCAACCCUGAUCCAGCCAUGCCGCGUGAGUGAUGAAGGCCUUAGGGUCGUAAAGCUCUUUCGCCUGUGAAGAUAAUGACGGUAGCAGGUAAAGAAACCCCGGCUAACUCCGUGCCAGCAGCCGCGGUAAUACGGAGGGGGUUAGCGUUGUUCGGAAUUACUGGGCGUAAAGCGCACGUAGGCGGACCAGAAAGUUGGGGGUGAAAUCCCGGGGGCUCAACCCCGGAACUGCCUCCAAAACUAUUGGUCUAGAGUUCGAGAGAGGUGAGUGGAAUUCCAAGUGUAGAGGUGAAAUUCGUAGAUAUUUGGAGGAACACCAGUGGCGAAGGCGGCUCACUGGCUCGAUACUGACGCUGAGGUGCGAAAGUGUGGGGAGCAAACAGGAUUAGAUACCCUGGUAGUCCACACCGUAAAACGAUGAAUGCCAGUCGUCGGGUAGCAUGCUAUUCGGUGACACACCUAACGGAUUAAGCAUUCCGCCUGGGGAGUACGGUCGCAAGAUUAAAACCUCAAA